GCGGCGUGGCCCGCUGCCUUGGAAACGCGGUGCGCGUGCUCCCGGCGGGAGCUGCGGUGCAGGGGCGGGGUCUCGCGGCGGGGGAAGGGGCUGCUCUGGGCUCCAGAUGCUGUGCGCCGGGAGGCUGGGCGGGCUCGGAAGCCGGGCAGCGCCUCUAUGGCCCGGGCGAGCGGGCUCGAGGGGCCUCGGAGCCAGGAUCCGCGCCCGAGGGGUCAGCACCAGCUGGUUCCCGGUGGGCGCCGCCUUCAAUGUCAAGCCCCAGGGCCGCCGCCUGGACCUGUUCGGCGAGCGCCGGGGUCUUUUUGGAGUUCCUGAGCUCAGCGCCCCAGAAGGAUUUCGGGUCGCCCAAGAAAAUGCCUUGAGGAAGGCAGACUUGCUUGUGGAGCGUGUGUGUUCCGUGGCACCUGGGCCCCAGACCGUGCUCAUUUUCGACGAGCUCUCUGAUUCCUUGUGCAGGGUGGCCGACUUGGCCGAUUUUGUGAAAAUCGCCCACCCCGAGCCCGCGUUCCGAGAGGCGGCGGAGGAAGCCUGUACAAGCAUCGGCACCGCGGUGGAAAAGUUGAACACAAAUGUGGAAUUAUAUCGAAGUCUGCAAAAAUUGCUAGCUGACAAAAAACUUGUGGAUUCCCUUGAUCCAGAAACCAGGCGAGUGGCUGAACUGUUUAUGUUUGAUUUUGAAAUCAGCGGAAUCCACCUAGACAAAGAGAAGCGUAAGAGAGCAGUGGACCUGAAUGUUAAAAUCUUGGAUUUGAGUAAUACAUUUCUCACGGGAACUAACUUUCCCAACAAGAUUGAGAAGCAUCUCUUGCCAGAACACAUUCAUCAAAACUUUGUAGUCGCUGGAAAUCACGUGAUAGUUGAUGGUCUACACGCAGAAUCUCCAGAUGACUUGGUGCGAGAAGCCGCUUAUAAAAUUUUUCUUUAUCCCAAUGCUGGUCAGUUGAGAUGUUUGGAGGAAUUGCUCAGCAACAGAGACCUGCUGGCAAAGUUAGUGGGGUACUCCACGUACUCCCACAGAGCCCUCCAAGGAACAAUAGCCCAAAGUCCAGAGACGGUCAUGCAGUUCCUUGAGAAGCUAUCAGAAAAACUUUCUGAAAGAACUAUAAGAGACUUUGAGAUGAUACGAGGGAUGAAAAUGAAACUAAAUCCUCAAAAUUCUGAAUUAAUGCCUUGGGAUCCCCCCUACUACAGCGGUGUGAUUCGUGCAGAGAGGUACAAUAUCGAGCCCAGUUUGUAUUGUCCAUUUUUCUCCCUUGGAGCGUGCAUGGAAGGCCUCAACACUUUGUUUGGCAGACUGUUAGGCAUUACGUUGUAUGCCGAGCAGCCCGCAAAAGGAGAGGUGUGGUGCGAGGGUGUUCGCAAACUGGCUGUGGUUCAUGAAUCCGAAGGAUUGUUGGGGUACAUUUACUGUGAUUUUUUUCAGCGAGCGGGCAAGCCACAUCAGGACUGCCAUUUUACAAUCCGUGGAGGCAGAUUAAAGGAAGACGGAGACUACCAGCUCCCAGUCGUAGUUCUUAUGCUGAAUCUUCCCCAUCCCUCAAGGAAUUUACCAACUUUAUUAACUCCUGGAAUGAUGGAAAAUCUUUUCCAUGAAAUGGGACAUGCCAUGCAUUCUAUGCUGGGACGUACUCGUUACCAACACGUCACUGGGACCAGGUGCCCCACUGACUUCGCUGAAGUUCCUUCUAUUCUGAUGGAGUACUUUGCAAAUGACCACCGAGUGGUUAGCCAGUUUGCCAGACAUUAUCAGACGGGGCAGUCACUGCCCAAAAAUAUGGUGUCUCGGCUUUGUGAGUCCAAAAAGGUGGGUGCUGCAGCCGAUAUGCAACUUCAGGUCUUUUAUGCCGCCCUGGAUCAGAUCUACCAUGGGAAGCACCCCCUGACGGCAUCGACCACAGACAUUCUCAGGGAAACCCAGGAGAAAUUUUAUGGCUUACCAUACGUUCCAAAUACCGAGGAGGAAUGGGUUUGGCAGGAGGGAUCAAGAACAUGGAAGUCUACAAAAGCCAUUAAUGUAGCACUGAGGAAUUUGUUCUGAAGAUAUACAUAGAAAACCCAAUAAAGCUGGAACACCUGAUAAUUAGCACAUCUACAGGAAAUUGGAAUCCAACAUUGGAGGAAAGGUUAAGCAGACCGUAUUGUACGCUGUGUUUGUCAUUAGGCCUGCCCACUUAGCACUGCGCUAUCUCUGACAUGCGGUAGAAUUGCACAUCUUUGCUCUGUGCAGUUAGUUGUGGCCACGUGACUUGAACUGGCCAAAGAAAUCAGGCAGAAGUGAUGGGGCUCAUUGCUGGGCUGCAGCAGUUAAGAGCCACUGUGCACUUGUCCACAUUUCCUCCCUGUUGGCCCAGCAACCAAUGACCUUCCGGGUGGUGGAGACUCAGAAAGCCUGGGUGCCUAAGUGCUGCUGACGUGAGAGGAGUCCGCUCACCCGAGAGAGAUGUGUCAUCUGCUCGAGGAACAGAUCUUUGCUGUUGGAAGCCACUGAGACAGCCUGGCAGCUUCGAUUCAGCCACCUCGUGGGCUACGGUGCCAAGUAUUACUCUUACCUCAUGUCCAGGGCGGUAGCUUCCAUGGUCUGGAAGGAGUGUUUUCGACGAGACCCUUUUAACAG